AUUGAACGCUGGCGGCAUGCUUUACACAUGCAAGUCGAACGGCAGCGCGGGCUUCGGCCUGGCGGCGAGUGGCGAACGGGUGAGUAAUGCAUCGGAACGUGCCCAGUAGUGGGGGGUAGCCCGGCGAAAGCCGGAUUAAUACCGCAUACGACCUGAGGGUGAAAGCGGGGGACCGAAAGGCCUCGCGCUAUUGGAGCGGCCGAUGUCGGAUUAGCUAGUUGGCGGGGUAAAGGCUUACCAAGGCGACGAUCCGUAGCUGGUCUGAGAGGACGACCAGCCACACUGGGACUGAGACACGGCCCAGACUCCUACGGGAGGCAGCAGUGGGGAAUUUUGGACAAUGGGGGCAACCCUGAUCCAGCCAUGCCGCGUGCGGGAAGAAGGCCUUCGGGUUGUAAACCGCUUUUGUUCGGGAAGAAAUCCUCUGGGCUAAUACCCCGGGGGGAUGACGGUACCGGAAGAAUAAGCACCGGCUAACUACGUG
rnacentral:rRNA from 1 species